rnacentral:rRNA from 1 species
UACGAAGGGGGCUAGCGUUGCUCGGAAUCACUGGGCGUAAAGGGCGCGUAGGCGGCCAUUUAAGUCGGGGGUGAAAGCCUGUGGCUCAACCACAGAAUUGCCUUCGAUACUGGAUGGCUUGAGACCGGAAGAGGUAAGUGGAACUGCGAGUGUAGAGGUGAAAUUCGUAGAUAUUCGCAAGAACACCAGUGGCGAAGGCGGCUUACUGGUCCGGAUCUGACGCUGAGGCGCGAAAGCUAGGGGAGCAAACGGG